AACGCACAUUGCGCCCCUUGGUAUUCCGAGGGGCAUGCCUGUUCGAGCGUCAUUAUGACCACUCAAGCCUAGCUUGGUAUUGGGGCCCGCGGUCUCGCGGCCCCUAAAAUCAGUGGCGGUGCCGUCUGGCUCUAAGCGUAGUAAUUUUCUCGCUACAGUGUUCAGGUGGUGGCUUGCCAACAACCCCAACUCUCACGGCUGACCCCGGAUCAGGUAGGGAUACCCGCUGAACUUAA
rnacentral:misc_RNA from 1 species